UACGGAGGGUGCGAGCGUUGUCCGGAAUCACUGGGCGUAAAGGGCGCGUAGGUGGCGCGACAAGUCAACGGUGAAAGCUCGGCGCUCAACGCCGAGUCGGCCGUCGAUACUGUUGGGCUGGAGCACUGUAGAGGCAGAUGGAAUUCCGGGUGUAGCGGUGGAAUGCGUAGGAGAGUCCGGAAGAACACCGGUGGCGAAGGCGGUCUGCUGGGCAGAGCUGACACUGAGGCGCGACAGCGUGGGGAGCAAACAGG
rnacentral:rRNA from 1 species